rnacentral:rRNA from 1 species
AGAGUUUGAUCCUGGCUCAGGAUGAACGCUAGCGGGAGGCUUAACACAUGCAAGUCGAGCGGGAGGGGUAGCAAUACCCCCAGAGCGGCGCACGGGUGCGUAACGCGUAUGCAACCUGCCUUAUACAAAGGGAUAGCCCAUGGAAACGUGGAUUAAUAUCUUAUAGGACUUAUGAAUCGCAUGGUUUAUAAGUUAAAACUACGGUGGUAUAAGAUGGGCAUGCGUCUGAUUAGGUAGUUGGUAGGGUAACGGCCUACCAAGCCGACGAUCAGUAGGGGUUCUGAGAGGAUUACCCCCCACACUGGUACUGAGACACGGACCAGACUCCUACGGGAGGCAGCAGUGAGGAAUAUUGGUCAAUGGGCGAGAGCCUGAACCAGCCAUCCCGCGUGCAGGAUGACGGCCCUAUGGGUUGUAAACUGCUUUUCUGCUCCAAGAAACCCUGUUACGUGUAGCAGGUUGACGGUAGAGUAGGAAUAAGCAUCGGCUAACUCCGUGCCAGCAGCCGCGGUAAUACGGAGGAUGCAAGCGUUAUCCGGAUUCAUUGGGUUUAAAGGGUGCGCAGGUGGGAAUGUAAGUCAGUGGUGAAAUACUGCCGCUUAACGGUAGAGCUGCCAUUGAUACUGCGUUUCUUGAGUAUGGUUGAGGUAGGUGGAAUGUGUUGUGUAGCGGUGAAAUGCAUAGAUAUGACACAGAACGCCGAUUGCGAAGGCAACUUACUAAGCCAUUACUGACGCUGAGGCACGAAAGCGUGGGUAGCGAACAGGAUUAGAUACCCUGGUAGUCC